UCUCGAUCCCUAAGAAGUUUUUCCUAUAUAUCCAUCUCGCACCCUCACACCUGUGAACUCCAUCGUGCACUUCGCGGCUUCUCUCUCCGCGACAAUGCUUCGCGUCUUAAGUACACUUUCCCUUUUAGCUUCUCAGAGCUCUCAAACUCUUUUAAGAUCUAAGAUAUUCCUUUGUGUCACAGGUACAUUUUCGUUUGUGUUUCUUUCCUUCAUAGUUUCGUUGGCGGCUCCACUAGCGCCUCUCCGUCGUGCCGCUGUCGCCGUCAACGCUCACUCUAGCAGGUCGUGUAGGUUGCGAGAUCUACAGUAGUACUUUGGUGCCAGACCAUCCUCAUUCAAUGAAAAAUCAUGAGGCUUUAAUCAUUGGGCAUCUUUUAUCUCAAGCUCUCAGUGCUGAGGAUCUUGAAUGCACUCAAGGUAACUUUAUAAUUAUCGUGUUUUUUCUUUGCCUAAUUGUUAUAAGAACUUUACGCUUAAUGGUCUUUUCUCUUUCUGUAGUAGAAAAACUUGAUUACGAUCGAUAAACCCCCGACGUAUGUGAUAGAUAGCUAAAUUUUUAAAGCAUGUUGGUUUUAAUUAUGAGAAAGGUUUUUGUUGAGACAAAACUCACUUUGACUGUAUUUAUGCCUCCAAAGAGAUUACUCUGUAUAAUCGCCUUUGUUGGUGCAAAAAUAACUUGAUUACAAGGUUUUUUUUUAUAUCUUUUUCUUCAUAUGGGGCGAUGAACCUGUUUUCAAAUGCCAAAAAGAAUUUCUCAAUGAAUACUAUGAUUACAAAACCCGUCAGUUUUGUUAAUUUAAUGAGUUUGCAAUAUUUAACAAUAUGGGGCGUUAGAAUAUUGGUGAUAUACCACUUUGAUUUCUUACAAAUUAUUCAAUUUAACAAUAUUUAAAUAUACAUUAUUGACUUAAAGUCAAAUAGAGGGCAUGCACGUAACUACCUUUGCACUAACUCGUUUUGGCUUUCGUAUGUACGGCAUCGGAAAUUCCGGACACCACCAAAUACCAAAUAACCAAUACCGGCCAUA